UGUUAAAUCACACAGUUUCCUCUUGGUGUG
rnacentral:piRNA from 1 species